rnacentral:rRNA from 1 species
GAUGAACGCUGGCGGCGUGCCUAAUACAUGCAAGUCGAGCGAACAGACGAGGAGCUUGCUCCUCUGACGUUAGCGGCGGACGGGUGAGUAACACGUGGAUAACCUACCUAUAAGACUGGGAUAACUUCGGGAAACCGGAGCUAAUACCGGAUAAUAUAUUGAACCGCAUGGUUCAAUAGUGAAAGACGGUUUUGCUGUCACUUAUAGAUGGAUCCGCGCCGCAUUAGCUAGUUGGUAAGGUAACGGCUUACCAAGGCAACGAUGCGUAGCCGACCUGAGAGGGUGAUCGGCCACACUGGAACUGAGACACGGUCCAGACUCCUACGGGAGGCAGCAGUAGGGAAUCUUCCGCAAGGGGCGAAAGCUUGACGGAGCAACGCCGCGUGAGUGAUGAAGGUCUUCGGAUCGUAAAACUCUGUUAUUAGGGAAGAACAAAUGUGUAAGUAACUAUGCACGUCUUGACGGUACCUAAUCAGAAAGCCACGGCUAACUACGU